rnacentral:rRNA from 1 species
UGUCCUACGGGGGGCAGCAGUGAGGAAUAUUGGUCAAUGGGCUUACGCCUGAACCAGCCAAGUCGCGUGAGGGAAGACUGCCCUAUGGGUUGUAAACCUCUUUUGUCGGGGAGCAAAAAGCGGUACGUGUACCGCAUCGAGAGUACCCGGAGAAAAAGCAUCGGCUAACUCCGUGCCAGCAGCCGCGGUAAUACGGAGGAUGCGAGCGUUAUCCGGAUUUAUUGGGUUUAAAGGGUGCGCAGGCGGCGAGUUAAGUCAGCGGUACAAUUUCGGGGCUCAACCCCG